UUGGAGGGCAAGUCUGGUGCCAGCCAGCCGCGGUAAUUCCAGCUCCAAUAGCGUAUAUUAAAGUUGUUGUGGUUAAAAAGCUCGUAGUUGAACCUUGGGCCUGGCUGGCCGGUCCGCCUCACCGCGUGCACUGGUCCGGCCGGGCCUUUCCCUCUGCCGGAACCCCAUGCCCUUCACUGGGUGUGGCGGGGAAACNGGACUUUUACUUUGAAAAAAUUGAGUGCUCAAGGCAGGCCUAUGCUCGAAUACAUUAGCAUGGAAUAAUAGAAUAGGA
rnacentral:rRNA from 1 species